GGGCUUACUUAGGCAGCACAUAUACUAAAAUUGGAAUGACACAAAGAUUAGCAUGGUCCCUGAGCAAGAAUGACAUGCAAAUUUGUGAAGUGUUCCAUAUAGAA
ensembl:snRNA RNU6-527P RNA, U6 small nuclear 527, pseudogene